CCUUGCCAGCCCGCUCAGAAACUCAAAGGAAGUUGACGGGGCCCGCACAAGCGGUGGAGUAUGUGGUUUAAUUCGAUGCAACGCGAAGAACCUUACCUGGUCUUGACAUCCCGGAGACCCUUAGGAAACUAGGGGGUGCUUCCAUCUGGAAGAAUCUGGAGACAGGUGCUGCAUGGCUGUCGUCAGCUCGUGUCGUGAGAUGUUGGGUUAAGUCCCGCAACGAGCGCAACCCUUGCCUUUAGUUGCCAGCAGUUCGGCUGGGCACUCUAAAGGGACUGCCGGUGUUAAACCGGAGGAAGGUGGGGAUGACGUCAAGUCCUCAUGGCCUUUAUGACCAGGGCUACACACGUACUACAAUGGCCGAUACAAAGGGCAGCGACACUGCGAGGUGAAGCCAAUCCCGUAAAAUCGGUCUCAGUCCGGAUUGGAGUCUGCAACUCGACUCCAUGAAGUUGGAAUCGCUAGUAAUCGUGGAUCAGCAUGCCACGGUGAAUACGUUCCCGGGCCUU
rnacentral:rRNA from 1 species